rnacentral:rRNA from 1 species
AGUCUCAAGGAUCGGAAGAUGCGGUUUGAUAUGAGUCCGAAUAGGACUUUCAGUAGGAAACAGGGCUCACCGGAGGCGCUGGUCGUUGCAUCCAUCGAGUUCGUCGGCCAGGAGCUCCUUCUACACUCCAGCAAUGGCGUGAAAGAGAGGCUCCCAAAGGCGUACAUACAGGUCCUGCCGUCCCAGAAGCUUCUAUAUAUCAGGGAGCCCAAGGGCAACGACACGGUCUGGGAGAAGUGGUACGCCCUUGACCCGGCCGCCUCUCGCUGAUACACGUACCGUCUCAACGGGCUGGACAGUGUCACUGGAUGACUACAAGUAUCGCCUUGACCGCAUUCGGGAACUGCGGUUCUGAACGACCGGUAUCGUUGUCGUCCCAAGCUGGCGCUGGUUCGGCCCCAGGACGGAAUGCAGCCGACUUACUGAGAAUCAUCCCAGCGGCAAGUUUCACAAUCUUGAUUUCUUUGCUUAUGCCAGAGGU